rnacentral:rRNA from 1 species
CGCGUAGGCGGAUAUGCAAGUGUUAGGUGAAAUCCCUCGGCUUAACCGAGGAAUUGCUUAGCAAACUGCAUAUCUUGAGGCAAGUAGGGGUGUGUGGAACUCUUGGUGGAGCGGUGGAAUGCGUAGAUAUCAAGAGGAACGCCGAAGGUGAAGACAGCACACUGGACUUGUACUGACGCUGAGGCGCGAAAGCGUGGGGAGCGAACA